rfam:Drosophila busckii chromosome 3R sequence.
AUUGAUAUUUUGAGAUUGAUUGCACGGAUUGAUUAAUAGGAACCUGUAUCGACUUCUCUGCUCCACUACUAUUACCAAUAAA